CGAAUACAUACAGCUGAAAUAUUAGAAAGGAAAUAAGCACUGCCUGAUUUUGUGAUGAUACUUAACUACUGAGUUUAUUAAGAUUCGAGAGUACAUAUUCAACUCCUGCCCUUAAUCAUGACCCGAUAUAU